rnacentral:tRNA from 1 species
AAGAUUUUAGUUAAAAUAUAAUAAUAGUCUGUCAGUCUAUAGUCACGAAAAAUAUCGUAAAUCUUA